AUGCUCUGUAUACAUCCCUUUACCAAACAAAGACAGAGAUGGAGAAAGGAAAACCAAGAAGGUAGAGAAGAAAAGGUUAAACCCUUUAAAGGAAGAGUGAGGAACCUAAAUCAACAUAAGUCUAUGAUGAUAUUAGGAUAUUUAAUCUACAGACUAGUGACUCUGUUGAUUCCACAUCGUCUAAAGAACAGCAAUAACUCUUCCGAUAUUCCUGCCUGUAGCUUUGGUAAGCAGCAUUCUAUGUGAGUAAUAAAAAUUUAUAGAGUCCCUGGGGGGACGGUAAUCAAGCUGGUGUUGAUACUGAUGCUAAUACCAAUAUUGAACAAUUAUGAACACUGGGUGCAUACUAUAUAUCCAGACAUAAUAGGCAGUGAAUAAAAAGAUUGAUACUUAAAACUCCCAUUUAAUUCAUUCCACAUAAAUAGCUUAUACAGUUGUACCACCUUUUCCUAACAGGCGAGGAAUAUAAGGUUUGAGAAACUAAAACCUUUAUCACCUGGAAAAUCAAACAUAAAAACCAGAAUUUCAGGCCAUGUCUGUAUGAUUAGAGAAUGGAUGUCUUUGAUUGUCAAGGAGUUAAAAAGAUAUUUAAAAAUAGUGUAGUAUGUCAAUUUCAUGUUGGCUGUCAGAAUUUAAGCAAAAUUUUUUAAAGGCUUAUGUAAGGUCACAAGGAUGUGUCAUUAUCUAUGUCAUUGAACUAGAGAAUCUGGAUACUAUAUGCCAUAUUGUUGUCUUUAAAUUGCUUGAUUGCCGAGGAAGGACUUAAUGCUGCUAAAAUACAUUUGAUUAUAAAUGCUGCUAAAUUAAUCCAACUUAUACAUUUUUAAAAUGCUCUAACUUCAAAAUUUAAGUUUAAGGACAGGCUACUUAGAAAUAAAGGUUUUGCUUGCCACAGAAAAUCAAAAGCUGUGGAUUCCUUCCAGACUAAUAUGGUUUGAUCAAGCAAGACCCCCUAAAGCUGAGAUGAUACAGCCUUACAGACUACAAAAACAAGGACUUGGUCAGGUUUCUAUGUUUUAUCAUGAUCCAUAUGGCAUAAACCUCGCCCCCAAUCAGCAGGAAGCAGUUUAAAAAGAAUGACGCCCAUAUUGCCAAAUAUUGUUUAUAGAUGUUUGUUUUCAUUAAAUGGGGUUAGUUAUAAAUGAUAAUGAGCAUAGUCAAUCUCUUUUUAAAGAAAGAAAAGGUGAAUAGGAUAUAGGAAUGAAUACUUUGCAUUGGUAUAGAUUUUCAUUUAUUGAUACAACUUUAAGGUCAAUUUUGUGAUAUUUAUGUCUCCUCUUGUUUAGGUAUUGUGUUUAUACAGAUCUUUUACCAAUAAUAGUCAGAACUUAUAAUUAGGUUAAUCAGGUUUUCUAGAUUUACAGAGGUGUAUUUGAGAUGGUUAGGUAUUCUUCAAACCUUUCAGAGACCUAUAGAAAUUUGGCAUUUAAAUGGUUUAGGGUUUUUCUUGGCAGUGAGACACAACUCCUCCUGACACACCAAUUAUGUCAGAAAGGAGAAUGGGCAUCAAAGAAACUCAUUAUGGAGUUUGCUUUCAACAUGGCAAGAUUAGCCAUUUAGGCAAGAAACUGCUCUUGCCUGGACUGUUUGUUGCUGUAUAAACUGGACAUGCAGGACCCGCAAGAAAGUGACUGGUGAACUUACAAAACAAGACAGUACUGAAGGGUUCCUGUUGAAAUGGAGAAGUGUGCCAGACACACUGUGGCCUAUGGGCCGAAGAUGGAUGUCCCAACAUUACAGAGGAACUUUGGGUGACGGUCCAGGUAGUGAGAUGUCUCUGUCAAUUCUAGAGUUUAUAUAUUAUCCUUCUGUGGUCUUUGAUAGAAUUGAAGACAGAUAGUUAUGGUUAUAGUUUUCUUCAGUUAUUAUAAAAGAUAAGUUAUCCUUCUUCAAUUUACACAGAAAAGAGCAGAUUAUGGGUAAUGUACUGUGUAUGUUUAUCUUAUUGAUUGUUAAAUAAAAUACUGUUUGGCCAAUGAGACAAGUUAGAUGGGACUAGCUGUCAAAGAGGAUUCUGGGAAAUGUAGUAAAGACGUGGUGAUCCAGGCAGGAAGUGACAUAGCAAGGAGACUCAUAUUAAAGUAAAGGAGAAACAGAAAGAGUCCCCUUUUCCCCUUGCUCCUCCAGCAGCACAAAGUGAUCCACCAGCAAGGAGGGACGCCAAUAAGGCAUCCAAUAUAAUGUCUUAUAAAAUAUAUAGAUUUAUGAUAAUUAAGACUGAGCUAACAGAUGAGGAACCCUAGUCAUUGGCCAAGCAGCUUUGAACUUAAUACAAGUUUCUGUGUAUUCAUUUGGGCCCUAACUCAGGCAGGCAUCUGGUGAAAAAGCUCACAUGUGGCGCGGGGUGGGGGUGGGAAACGGCGGCUCAGGCAGCUUUUGGCAGAAAGAUUUAUCGUAACAAGUUGAUUUUUCAAUUGGUUUAUAAUUGGAAGCCAUAAUUUUUUGUUUACAUGUGUUAAAUGCUUCAUUUCAUAAAUGUCAAUGCCAAUCAUUGAAAGAAGCAUCAAAUAGUAAGUGAAAUGCAAAAGAAUAGAGAUCAGAGUCACUUUGUAUUGUUCCACAAAAGCAUUUAUUGGAAAAGGGAAUUUCCAGUGUGGAAACCCCUUUACAUUUAUGAUUGGCUACUAAGAAAACAUGCUACUGCACAUGACUGUCUCUGUGGUCCCUUUUAUCUGCUAUAAUUCUUUAAGGAAUCAGUGAAACUCUGGGAACAGUUACAUCACCUCUUCAAGGAAUUCUCUCAAUGCUUUGUGUGGCUUUCUUAUAAUCAUUGGUUUUAGACUCAUGAAAAGAAAUGUUUCUUUGUUCAAUAUAGAGAUUUACUUACUAAGUAUCUGACUGAUGAUAGGUGCAAGGGAGAAUCAGAGAACCAAUUACUGAACUGGUAAUUAUCCUUUUAUUUCUAGCCACAAAUAAUAUUGGCUCCCCACAGCCAAAAAGCAUUGUUAUACUUUGAACUGCAGUUGAAAAGAACCAAUGUUUCCAACUAGACAGUGACUCAGUCAAAGUUAGUAAACUCCAUAGGGAAAAAGGUUGGUGGAAGGACACCUCAGUCGCUAACAGCACUGGUGGCUCUUCCAGAGGAUUUGUGUUCAAUUCACCUCACCAACAAGACAAGUCCUCUGUAACUCCAGUUCCAGACAAUCCAAUGCCCUCUUGUGGCCCGCACAGGCACCAGACACAGACAUACAUGUAGACAAAAUACCUAUACUUAUAGAAGAAAACUUACAAAAACUUCUAAGCAUUAGGUAAUACAAUCUAUAACAGUGGUUCUCAACCUUCUUAAUGCUGUGACCCUUUAAUACAGUUCAUGUUAUGUGACCCCCAAGCAUAAGAUUAUUUUUGUUGCUACGUCAUAACUAUAAUUUUGUUACUGUUAUCAAUCUUAAUGUAAAUAUUUGAUAUGUGAUCCUUGUGAAAGUAUCAGUUGACCCCUCCCACACCAAAAGGUUCAUGACCCUAUAGGUAGUGCACUACUGGUCUAGAUAGUUUCGAUUUUAGUUUUAUAUAAAAAGUCUAGAAUGAAUAAGAGACAUACUAGCCUUUAUUCUUAUCUUGGAAUACAAAGAUGCUUGUUUUAUAUAUUUGACUUCACAAAGCAACAUUAUAUUUCCAUAAAUUAUUUGAAGACUACAAUUUAAUUUGUGAUAAUGUUAAAGCAAACAAGUGAACAAACAGGAAACCUCAUCCUCCUCAGAGAUUUGUUUCCAUUUUCCUAAUGUAGAUGUGAAAUUUAGAGCAAGUUUGUAUAGUUUGUAUUUGUGAUCUUGAUAUUCCCUAGAAAAAGAAUUCCAAAGAAUGCAAAUGCAACAGAAAAAACACAGUAUUUGGACCUUGUAAAACUUAUUUUUACAAAAAACCCCCCAUGAUUUCUGGUGUACAUUAGUGUAAGAACCUCAUUUGGGUAUUUCUUGUACUCUCUCUGUCAUUCACAGCCACUGAAAAGUCUACUAUUGUCAUCCAAGUAGUUCAGGACUGCAUUAUUUUCUGUCUUCAAGUUGAUAAUUUAUUAUAUUAGGUAGCCUUUUUUUCUAUUUUCCUAAAAUUUUGUAGAAAAUAUAUAGGCUAUUAAAUUGCAGAUAAAAUUGAAUUAGUCUUUUAUCCCUAUUUUGAAUGUAAUUCUCUUUAGUUGCACUUUUAAAUUUUCUCCUGUUUUGAUUAAAGUUGUUGAUUAUCUUAUUUUUCUUUAUUCUUAUUUCCUAUCCCCAUGCACAGCAAAACAAUGCAUAACAGAAAUAAUAAAGUUAUGCAAGAAUGGAAUGUCAGAAUUACAAAAUGACUUGGUUUAUUUUAACCUCAUCAAUCAAACAAACAACAACAACCAGAAUUUAUGGAAAUGAUGAGAAGCAAUUUACAAG
ensembl:lincRNA